rnacentral:rRNA from 1 species
UACGUAGGGGGCUAGCGUUGUCCGGAUUUAUUGGGCGUAAAGAGCGUGUAGGCGGCCAGGUAGGUCUGCUGUGAAAACUCGAGGCUCAACCUCGAGACGUCGGCGGAAACCAUCUGGCUAGAGUCCGGAAGAGGAGAGUGGAAUUCCUGGUGUAGCGGUGAAAUGCGCAGAUAUCAGGAAGAACACCCGUGGCGAAGGCGGCUACCUGGACCGGAACUGACGCUGAUGCGCGAAAGCGUGGGUAGCAAACAGG